rnacentral:rRNA from 1 species
UACGAAGGGGGCUAGCGUUGUUCGGAAUCACUGGGCGUAAAGGGUGCGCAGGCGGGCAUUUAAGUCAGGGGUGAAAUCCCGAGGCUCAACCUCGGAACUGCCUUUGAUACUGGAUGUCUUGAGUCCGGAAGAGGUGAGUGGAACUGCGAGUGUAGAGGUGAAAUUCGUAGAUAUUCGCAAGAACACCGGUGGCGAAGGCGGCUCACUGGUCCGGAACUGACGCUGAGGCACGACAGCGUGGGGAGCAAACAGG